UGCGGUGUAGCUCAGUGGUAGAGCGUGGCCCUCAUAAGGCCCAGGUCACAGGUUCAAAUCCUGUCACCGCGACCA
rnacentral:tRNA from 1 species